AUGGUGUUGGGGCUUAAGUGGGUUUUCUUUGUUGUUUUUUAUCAAGGUGUGCAUUGUGAGGUGCAGCUUGUUGAGUCUGGUGGAGGAUUGGUGCAGCCUAAAGGAUCAUUGAAACUCUCAUGUGCCGCCUCUGGUUUCACCUUCAAUACCUAUGCCAUGCACUGGGUCCGCCAGGCUCCAGGAAAGGGUUUGGAAUGGGUUGCUCGCAUAAGAAGUAAAAGUAGUAAUUAUGCAACAUAUUAUGCCGAUUCAGUGAAAGACAGAUUCACCAUCUCCAGAGAUGAUUCACAAAGCAUGCUCUAUCUGCAAAUGAACAACCUGAAAACUGAGGACACAGCCAUGUAUUACUGUGUGAGAGA